rnacentral:rRNA from 1 species
GACGAACGCUGGCGGCGUGCUUAACACAUGCAAGUCGAACGGAAAGGCCCUGCUUGCAGGGUACUCGAGUGGCGAACGGGUGAGUAACACGUGGGUGAUCUGCCCUGCACUUCGGGAUAAGCCUGGGAAACUGGGUCUAAUACCGGAUAGGAGCCAUUUUUAGUGUGAUGGUUGGAAAGUUUUUUCGGUGUAGGAUGAGCUCGCGGCCUAUCAGCUUGUUGGUGGGGUAAUGGCCUACCAAGGCGGCGACGGGUAGCCGGCCUGAGAGGGUGGACGGCCACAUUGGGACUGAGAUACGGCCCAGACUCCUACGGGAGGCAGCAGUGGGGAAUAUUGCACAAUGGGCGCAAGCCUGAUGCAGCGACGCCGCGUGGGGGAGGACGGCCUUCGGGUUGUAAAAUCCUUUCGCUAGGGACGAAGCUUUUUGUGACGGUACCUAGAUAAGAAGCACCGGCUAACUACGUG